ACCCUGGCGAGGUAGGUAAGUUUUCCCAGGAUACACUAAACAAAUCUGCCAGGUUAUGGGCAGGAAGGAGGCUACUGCUAUAAGCUCACUUUAUUAUUUAUUCUUGGUGGGAACUUCCAGAAAGGCUGAUGAGGACCCUGCUUCCCAUUAGUCCAAACGAUUCGCCAUUCGCUUUUGAUUACCCACAAAUAUCGUAUUCUGCUGGAGCACUAAUCAUUCUGCUUGGGGGACACGUGUCCCGAGCAAAUCGAGUCAUAAACAGCUGUCAUUCCAAUGGCUAUUAAUGCCUAUUGUCUCCCAUUCUGGAGCCCAGCGCCUCCCUGAUGCAAAGAGAAUGGUGGAGGAGCGGGGGACAUCUGUUUCAAAGACAGUCUGCUGCCAUAUUGGAGAGAUGCACCUGGCUUCCACUUCCAAACCCGAGUAACCAGAGGCUUCUUGGCCUUUCUUUGUCACCAGCCCAUUUUCUAUUUUGUAUUCUAGGUUUUCAUCUCUAUGCAGCAUGGGGAAAAUGGAAUUGAGAGGGUGGCUGGGGGAGGGAGUUCUGAGUUGCAUGUAAACCGGGCCACCAGAAUCAAGGAUCUGUUACAAAUCAACAGCGCAGAAGCAGCUCAAUGUCAGGACCCAGACAACGCCCCCAAGCCCCAACCAUCCUGCGACUGAAAUAAACGUGAAGGGAGAAGACAGUCCUCCAGUUUGACAAAUGAUUUCAACGUGCCGAGUGGUGGACUUGUCAGUCUUGAGUGGCUCUCCCAUUAUAACUCUAUUCCCAUACGCCUGGCUUUAAUUCUGCACACAUGCAUUGACGGCAGCUUUUCAGAUUGAAAAGGAAAAGAGCAAAGGGACUUGCUUGCCCUCAUUCCACAUGGGCACCCGUGCUUUAGGACAGUUGUCUCUCAGCCAGGCUCCUGGGCUGCAAGAAAAGUGUGAGGCUGAUGAAUCAACGGGGUAGAUCAGCCAGGUGAUACAAGUCAGGUGCCCUGACAAGAUAGGGAAACAUUUUUUUCAUGGCUGCCCUCUGAUCACAAGGAAGGUGAGUGCCCCCUGGCCAGGGGUUUGAUUCGGACCAAAGCCAGUCCCUGAUUUGGACCUGGCACACUCUUUGAGUGAGUCACCCCCACCUCUCUAGCCUCAGUUUCCUCCUCUUUGAAAGGAAGGACUUAGAACAGAACAUUUCCUUAGGUCCCCUUUUAGAUCUAAAAGUCUGCAGUGGGAUGACUUGUUCAAAAUCCCCCAUACCUUCUCUCCUCUGCAAAGCUUCCCAACCAGCGUGCACUGAAAGGAAGGUAGGGAGGAUAGGAACUGAGCCUCCCACCCUUGGGAGAGUGGAAACACCUGAGGAGAUCAUGUCUUGUUUGUUACUGGUUCCUGAAGUUCCUGGGAUGCUCUGACAAAUAUUUCUAUUUUCUCUGUGCUCCAUGACAUGAACAAAAUUGGGAAGUUGCUGCUCUGCUUCUUGGUCCGCAGAUGAAUAAACCAAAACAAGGAAUGCUCAGGGGACUUGCCUAUCUCUGUACCGCUAGCGAGUAAUAAUGUGGUUUUGCGGAUUCCAAAAACUGUGCUCUCAACCAGGAAUUUCCUAUCCUGGCUGCCCAUUAAUACCAAUGAGGAGGUUUUUUUAAAAAUACCCGUGCCUGGCCCCAGAGAUUCUGAUUUUCUAGUCAGGGUGGGAUCCGAGCCUUGCUAUUUCCUUUAGUCUCCCUGGGGAUUCUGUGUGCAGCCAGCACACAGCAACAGAGACAGAUAACCUUGUUCCUGCUCUAACAGUUGUAACCAAGCGAUUAUAGUCUGCCCCUGUGAAGUCCAUGAGAAGGUACUGAUCACCUACCUUUUAUAAUAGAAGCAAUCUUCUAUUUUAAUUCACAUAUAAUAGAACCAAAAAAUGUGUAUGAAAUAAAAAGUAAAAUGUAAAAAGUAAAAUGUAAAAAAGUAAAAUGUCAAAUGUCCAAAAAGCAAUAGAAUUUCAUAUCAUAAGGUCAAGAGAGCUGGGCCUGGUCACAAGGUGGCUGGUUGCAGAAUCCUAGGGGACACCAGGCCGAGUGCUGGCGCAUUGGUGGGUGAAAUCAGGGUGUAAAAGACUCAAAGGCUGUUGCCCCCCCACACUAAUGGGUGAAGCCAGGUCCAGGGGCUGGUGCCAGACAACUGGAACGCAGAUGUGGUUCCCAGGGUCUGGCUGUGGGCCCCAGGGAUCCUAGAGCUGGUGUCACAUCGCUGGUGGGGGGCGGGGUGGGGGGGCAAUUACUAAUACAGCUGGGUAUGGGGUCUGAGGUUUUCCCAAACUUGCAUUGGCCUACUAGUGGGCAGGGCUGGUACAGGGGAUUCUGGGACUGGUGCCAGCCCAGUGGUGGGUGGAGCUGGGUGUUGGGUCCUCGGCUAGGCUGUUGUGGGUGCAGGAGGUCUUUAGGCAGCCUGUCUGCUGGUGACUGCGGCUGUUUCUCUGCCCAGUUAGUUUUUUGGCCUGAGGCGUCCCAACACCUGUGCCUUCAGGCUCUGCUGAGCGGAGGCCAGGUUUUUGCAUUAAUUUGGUCUAAUGAGCGAGAGGGAGGAGCCUACCAGGUGCCUCCAGCGUCCACGUGGAGAGCGAACUUUCAAAUAUGGCUGCCGCCAGUUCCCUCCGCGCGAGCGCCAGCUGCCUGCCUCUCUGGGGGACCCUCCAAGACCAGCAGUUGCUUCAGAUAUAAGAUUAGGCUGCGAUUUUUCUUGUUUCCUGAGUGAGACACAGCCAACCCACACAUCCCUAGGAGACCCUCCAAGACCCACAG